rnacentral:rRNA from 1 species
UGGGGAAUAUUGCACAAUGGGCGAAAGCCUGAUGCAGCAACGCCGCGUGAGUGAUGAAGGUCUUCGGAUUGUAAAGCUCUGUCUUUUGGGACGAUAAUGACGGUACCAAAGGAGGAAGCCACGGCUAACUACGUGCCAGCAGCCGCGGUAAUACGUAGGUGGCGAGCGUUGUCCGGAUUUACUGGGCGUAAAGGGUGCGUAGGCGGAUGUUUAAGUGAGAUGUGAAAUACCCGGGCUUAACUUGGGUGCUGCAUUUCAAACUGGAUAUCUAGAGUGCAGGAGAGGAGAAUGGAAUUCCUAGUGUAGCGGUGAAAUGCGUAGAGAUUAGGAAGAGCACCAGUGGCGAAGGCGAUUCUCUGGACUGUAACUGACGCUGAGGCACGAAAGCGUGGGUAGCAAACAGGAUUAGAUACCCUGGUAGUCCACGCCGUAAACGAUGAGUACUAGGUGUAGGAGGUAUCGACCCCUUCUGUGCCGCAGUAAACACAUUAAGUACUCCGCCUGGGAAGUACGAUCGCAAGAUUAAAACUCUAAAGUGAAUUGAC